GGUAUUAGCUCAGCUGGUUAGAGCGCCGGCCUGUCACGUCGGAGGUCGCGGGUUCAAGUCCCGCAUAUC
rnacentral:tRNA from 2 species